UACGUAGGGUGCGAGCGUUAAUCGGAAUUACUGGGCGUAAAGCGUGCGCAGGCGGUUUUGCAAGCCGGAUGUGAAAUCCCCGGGCUCAACCUGGGAAUGGCAUUUGGGACUGCAAGGCUCGAGUGCGGCAGAGGAGACUGGAAUUCCUGGUGUAGCAGUGAAAUGCGUAGAUAUGCGGAGGAACACCGAUGGCGAAGGCAAUCCCCUGGGCCUGUACUGACGCUCAUGCACGAAAGCGUGGGGAGCAAACAGG
rnacentral:rRNA from 1 species